rnacentral:sRNA from 1 species
UGUCCUCGAGGUAGGACCCGAUCAGCCGAC